UGAUCUAAGAUCUGGGUAGCCUUUUUAAGCUGUGCUGUGCUCUCCACAGAGCUGUCUACACAGGUUUAGUGAGGGAACUUGUAAGGAAUAUUUCUCACAUGCAGCAAAUAUAUGGAGAAUGGCUCUAUCCUUAGUAAAACAGGUUUUCAACAUUUUGCCAUCAUAUGUUCAAGCAAGGCCUGAACACUCAUUUGUUGCAAAAAUGCUGGUGGUUUAUCCUAGAAUGAAAAUGGCAAUGAACAAUAUUUUGAAAAUAAAAGAUUCUGCCUGCUGUUACUCCUUUCUCUAGUUUCUGGUGUUCCUUAAGAAGCAAAGUUCAGAACUCUGAAGCUUAGAAAGGAGGCAAUGUCAGCAGCUUCUGUGAGACAGUAUAAUCUUUCAGGAAAGAAACGUUCACACUUCUUCCAAAGAUUGCUGAAAAUGUCUUUGUUCAGUUCCCUGUUUUUCCUAGUGUGGUAGAAAACUUUAAUGGGUUGAUGGGAUGAGAAUCGAAGCAGGACAUUUUAUUUCUAUUCCCAAUUCUCUUUGGCUUUUGUUUGUUUAUAAGUAUGUGCUUUCUGUUGCCUUUUAUUUUAUUUUUUAAUCAAAUAAACAUUGCAGAAUGCUAAUACUUGAGAAAAAUAAAGAAAAAAUUAACCUUCUAUAUUAAUACAAAAAGAGGGACAAAUUGCCAUUUAAGACAAGAGCUCCUUGAUAAAUUAGAUAGUGUAAAUGACAGGCUAUUUCAAAAUAUUUGAAACUUCAUUUUGAGGAAUGAAAACUUGUAGUUCUAGCUUGGAAAUAUAAAUUUAGAUUUCCAUGUUGGUGUUUAUGCAAAUGUCCUGUCUCAGCUUAAGAAGCUGGUGAAAUCUUGUAUUUGAAACUUGUAAAUGUCUGUGUAUAGUCUGUUGAAAUCUAAAUACUGCUGCAAUGUGUAUGCAAAAUAAAGUUCAUCUUCAUUAGCCAUCUAAAAUACCCUGUUUUACUAAAAACAUUUGUUAAAACUGGGUUGACAGAUUAUUUGUCAUCUUUUUUUAUUUUUUGCCUUUGUGUAUUCCCCUGAAACUGAAGUAAAGUUUUGAUUUGUAAUGUUGUAAAUAUUCAAGGUCAUGCAAACUGAGUGAAUUGCUGCAAUGUAAAUGUUCCUGAGCUGUGUGGAAGGCUGUGGGUUUGCAGUGUGCCUUUGCAGCAUUGCCUCAUCUGGCCCCCUGCGUGUUACUUUCUGCUUAUUUUUGCAGUGGAUAGUUGUUGCAUCACUGACAAUGUCAUGUCCUGUUCUUGUUUCAUACUCCGUCAAGGCAAUGACAUUAAUUUGUGUCCAUUUGAAUAAUAUUCUUUGUCAC